CAAGGAGAAACCAUGGCUAGGGUUUUUCAAGCUUCCAAGCUCGAUUGUAAGUCCGUUCUAGCCUCGUUUUUAAUGAUUUUUACGUUUUUAGAGUCCCGGUAGCUCGAUUAAGCUUAUGCUAGCAAUAAUUUAACCUAGGGUUUAUAUUUGGAAAAAUACCCAUAGGUGAAAUUUGUGUAUUUUGGUGUUUUAUGAUAGAAUAUGAGGUUUUAAAUUAUAUUAGACAACUUGUGCUACUUGGUUUUAAGCGAAAACUAGCAAAAGGGCUUAAUCGGUAAAAAUACCUAAUAGUCAUAAGUACAUGUUAGAGUGAGAAUUUGAUGUUGCCAUAGAAGGGAAAAAUGAUCAGCAUGUCAUAAAACAUAAGAAAAUAGGCUGAAGUUUAAUUUACGAGCUUUGGGGUAAAAGUGCAAAUAUGCAAAAGUUUAGGGGCAAAACUGUAAUUUUUCCAAAAUAUGAUUUUGGGUCAAUUUGAAUAAUGUGAGUCCUAAUUAGACCAUAUUUUAAAUGAUAGAGCAAGGAAAACUGAAAUUCGGGCUAAAAUGAAAAAAAUACCAAGUUGUGGACGAAAUGGUAAAAGUAGCCAUUUUCGCAUACGAGGUAAGUUCAUGUGUAAAUAAUGUAGCAUAAUUGUUAUUUUUAAGUUAUUGAUGUUAAUUAUAUGAUAUGCUGAUUUUUUUAUCAUGAAAUAUUAUGCUUUGUGGUUAAUGUUGAGUAAUAUGCAAAUUAUGUUUACUACUUGAUAAAUAUGAAUUGCUACCGAGUAUCGGUUCCGAUAUUCCAUGGAAGACGGCAAUGUGAGAUCGAGGAAAAAAUCCCGUUUGAACCUUAGGAAUAGAUUAGGAUACAAGUGACAUGUCACUAGGAUGGUUGAGCAUCCGAACUCGUUGAGUUGAGUCCGAGUUCACUUAUGGAUGCGAAUGUCCGAACUCGUUGAGUUGAGUCCGAGUUCGUGAAAUGUAACUAGGCAUCCGAACUCGUUGAGUUGAGUCCGAGUUCACUUAUGGAUGCGAACGCCCGAGCUCGUUGAGUUGAGUCCGAGUUCACUUAGGGGCGGGUUACAUGAUUUCUUGAUUACAUAUGAGGCACUUAUGUGCAAAUUAUCCGUGUAUCCGAGUUGUAUUCCGAUUUGUUCAACGGGUGAAAUUUCUAGUGAAAUGAAAGAACACUUAAGAUGCAAGUGACAUUUUGGUAAGUGUUGUGAAAUGGACACUUUGGACAGGUAUGUUCUUAACCCUCGGGUUGAUAAUAGAUACAACAACGAUAAGGUAGUAAGAUGAUGAAUGAUGUUUAGAAAUAUGAUAUAUGUUUUGGUGAUACCAUGCUAAAGUUGUUUGGUAUAUUUGUAUUGUUAUGUUACUUGUUAUUUACAUAUGAACUUACUAAGCAUUUAUGCUUACUCCCUACUCUUUAUUUACUGUAGUUUUGAACAAGCCAGCUCGGGAAUCGGGACGGGUCGAAGGUUCGAUCACACUAUCCAAAGGACUUUCAUCUGGGUAAAUGGCUUGUAAAACUUAAGUAUGACAUGUAUAGCAAUAUAUUUAUUUUGUGUAAAUAAUUUUAUGAUAUGGCCAUGAUUGGUUGAGAAAAUGUUUGAUAUUGAUAAGUCAUGGUGAUGGUUAAAUUUAGAUCAUGUUUGAUAUCAUGGAAGUUUAAUAGGUUAUCUAGUUCAUAACAACUCAUGAAAAGAUGAAAUUUGCCUUAAAACAGAAUAUUGCUGCAGCAAUGACAUGAAUUUGAAAAAUUACUAAAAAUAGUAUAAAUGGAAUUAAAUGAUGAGCAAGUUAUGAAAUUGAAGCUUAAUGAGUCUAUUUUCAUAUGGAUAAAAAAAAACAGGCAUAUAAAUUAUACUUUAUGAGAUAUUUGAAACCUUGUGAAACAGGGCCAGAGUGAUUUCUGGAUCCUCUGUUCUGACUUUAAAAAUUCAUAAUAAAUUGUAAAAAAAUAAUUAGAAGUCAUUAUUUAUAUUUAAAGAUUCCUUAUAGAGUCUAGUUUUAAUAGAAACAAAGCUCAUAGUCAUUUAAAUUCUGUAUAGAGAGAUAUCUGAUUCUUAAUAUAUAGAUGUCAGAGCAGUCGAACCCUGAAACAGGGGAGACUUUAACUAAUAAACUGUACUAAUUUGCCCAACCAAAAAUUCUAGAAAAAAAUUAUUAAAUAGAUAUAUGAGUCUAGAUUUAGGGAAAAUUUACGGAUCUUGAUUUCGAGUUUCGUAACCCGAGGUAUGAUUUUUCUUGUAACUGUGAUGCGAGUAGCUAGAAAGCUGUGAAUGUAGAAACAAAAGAUUUGAAGUUCUUAAUUUGAUAAAUUAUGUUCGGUAACUCCUCAAGCUCGACUCCGGCGACGUUUUCGGGCGUGGGGGCGUUACAUUAUCUGUAAUAUUAGUUUACUAAAUGUCGGAUGAAGUAGGAUUCAUUGUUUUCUAUAUAUGAAUCAUUGUGUUUUGGCUUUUGUAACAAUUUCUGCAACAUAAUCUGUCUAUUUAAUUGGUUGUACUGAAUAAGUGCUUGGAAUAAUUGUAUGAAAUUAUUGUUUCAUGAUCUGAAUCAAUGAUGAGGCUUCUAUUAUAUCAUUCAAGAGAUUAAAAUCUUUAAUGUCUAAGCUCUGCAUGGGUUUUUCAUUGGUCUUGCAGCAGCCUUUCUUGGUGAUUCUAAGUCUUUGAUGCUUAGUAAGGCAGACAGUUAUAAUUUCUAAGAGAAUUUGAACCAUUUGAGAUUUAAUCUCAGCACUAAAAGCUACUAGAAGUUUGUGAUAUUGUUCUUGAAAACAACAUUUGUUUAUUUUCUUGUGCAUCAAAAUAUUGUAGGGCUAACGUGAACCUCUUGCAGCUUUCAAGUUACAAGCGAGCAAAGAAAAUGGAGAAAGGUGGUUAUGAAGAGUGGAAAUCAUCUGUUCUAUCAUCUAACAAAAAAAAAAACACAAAAAUUUUCUCAAUGUUGAAGAUAUUGAUACUUUUAUGUGGUGUAAUAUUUAGUUAUGCACUUGGACAAUGUUGUUA
rnacentral:lncRNA from 1 species